rnacentral:rRNA from 1 species
UACGGAGGGGGCGAGCGUUGUUCGGAAUUACUGGGCGUAAAGGGCGCGUAGGCGGCCUUCUAAGUCGAACGUGAAAUCCCCGGGCUCAACCCGGGAACUGCGUCCGAUACUGGGAGGCUUGAAUCCGGGAGAGGGAUGUGGAAUUCCAGGUGUAGCGGUGAAAUGCGUAGAUAUCUGGAGGAAUACCGGUGGCGAAGGCGGCAUCCUGGACCGGCAUUGACGCUGAGGAGCGAAAAGCUAGGGGAGCAAACGGGG